UCUUGAGUUACCUUGGGUGCUUGGAACAG
rnacentral:piRNA from 1 species